rnacentral:rRNA from 1 species
AUGAACGUUGGCGGCGUGGAUUAGGCAUGCAAGUCGCGCGAAAAACCCCGCAAGGGGUGGAAAGCGGCGAAAGGGACAGUAACACGUGGAUUAUCUACCCCUGGGUCUGGGAUAGCUGCGGGAAACUGCAGGUAAUACCAGAUGAUAUCUUCGGAUCAAAGGUGUGAUUCCGCCGAGGGAUGAGUCCGCGUCCUAUUAGCUAGUUGGUAGGGUAACGGCCUACCAAGGCCAUGAUGGGUAGCGGGUGUGAGAGCAUGACCCGCGUCACUGGGACUGAGACACUGCCCAGACACCUACGGGUGGCUGCAGUCGAGGAUCUUCGGCAAUGGGCGCAAGCCUGACCGAGCGACGCCGCGUGUGGGAUGAAGGCCUUCGGGUUGUAAACCACUGUCGGAGGGGAUGAAAUGCCAUGGGGUACUCCCCAUGGUUUGACAUAGCCUCAAAGGAAGUACGGGCUAAGUUCGU